UACGUAGGCAGCAAGCGUUGUUCGGAGUUACUGGGCGUAAAGGGUGUGUAGGCGGUUUUUUAAGUUUGGUGUGAAAUCUCCCGGCUCAACUGGGAGGGUGCGCCGAAUACUGAAAGACUAGAGUGCGGGAGAGGAAAGUGGAAUUCCUGGUGUAGCGGUGAAAUGCGUAGAUAUCAGGAGGAACACCGGUGGCGAAGGCGGCCUGCUGGGCUAUGGCUGACACUGAGGCGCGACAGCGUGGGGAGCAAACAGG
rnacentral:rRNA from 1 species